CCUGGCGGCGAGCGGCGAACGGGUGAGUAACGCGUAGGAAUCUACCCAGUAGCGGGGGAUAGCCCGGGGAAACUCGGAUUAAUACCGCAUACGCCCUAAGGGGGAAAGCAGGGGAUCGUAAGACCUUGCACUAUUGGAAGAGCCUGCGUUGGAUUAGCUAGUUGGUAGGGUAAAAGCCUACCAAGGCGACGAUCCAUAGCUGGUCUGAGAGGAUGAUCAGCCACACCGGUACUGAGACACGGUCCGGACUCCUACGGGAGGCAGCAGUGGGGAAUAUUGGACAAUGGGGGCAACCCUGAUCCAGCCAUGCCGCGUGUGUGAAGAAGGCCUUCGGGUUGUAAAGCACUUUAAGUGGGGAGAAAGGCUCGGCAGUUAAUACCUGUCGGGAUUGAUGCUACCCACAGAAUAAGCACCGGCUAACUCUGUGCCAGCAGCCGCGGUAAUACAGAGGGUGCAAGCGUUAAUCGGAAUUACUGGGCGUAAAGCGCGCGUAGGCGGCUGCUUAAGUCGG
rnacentral:rRNA from 1 species